CGCAAGCCUGACGGAGCAACGCCGCGUGAGGGAGGAAGGCCUGUGGGUUGUAAACCUCUUUUCUCAGGGAAGAAGAUCUGACGGUACCUGAGGAAUCAGCAUCGGCUAACUCCGUGCCAGCAGCCGCGGUAAGACGGAGGAUGCAAGCGUUAUCCGGAAUUAUUGGGCGUAAAGCGUCCGUAGGCGGCUGUUCAAGUCUGCUGUCAAAGCCCACAGCUCAACUGUGGAGAGGCAGUGGAAACUGAAUAGCUAGAGUGUGGUAGGGGCAGAGGGAAUUCCUGGUGUAGCGGUGAAAUGCGUAGAUAUCAGGAAGAACACCAGUGGCGAAGGCGCUCUGCUGGGUCAUAACUGACGCUGAUGGACGAAAGCUAGGGGAGCG
rnacentral:rRNA from 1 species